CUCUCAAACGAUUCGGACGCGAAAUGCAAAAAAGGCUCAAGAAUUUCGAACCCAUCUCUGCCGAGUACAGAGCGCUUUUUGGAUAAUAUUUCAAGUGUUUUCGUACUGAGAAUUCGAGCAGAAUUCGAGAAGAAUUCGAGUGUGUUUAAACGCGCAUUUCGCCUUUUUCAUGUGUGUUGUGUGAGUGGGAACGUGAUAUUUGGGAAUACUCAUGUUGAAAAAUAAAUGUGAAAUGUCAAAACAAAACAAAAUUAUGACCAUGUGAUUUACGCAGUUUUUGAAAGCUC
rnacentral:lncRNA from 1 species